GCUUGCUUCUCUUGAGAGCGGCGGACGGGUGAGUAAUGCCUAGGAAUCUGCCUGGUAGUGGGGGAUAACGUUCGGAAACGGACGCUAAUACCGCAUACGUCCUACGGGAGAAAGCAGGGGACCUUCGGGCCUUGCGCUAUCAGAUGAGCCUAGGUCGGAUUAGCUAGUUGGUGGGGUAAUGGCUCACCAAGGCGACGAUCCGUAACUGGUCUGAGAGGAUGAUCAGUCACACUGGAACUGAGACACGGUCCAGACUCCUACGGGAGGCAGCAGUGGGGAAUAUUGGACAAUGGGCGAAAGCCUGAUCCAGCCAUGCCGCGUGUGUGAAGAAGGUCUUCGGAUUGUAAAGCACUUUAAGUUGGGAGGAAGGGUUGUAGAUUAAUACUCUGCAAUUUUGACGUUACCGACAGAAUAAGCACCGGCUAACUCUGUGCCAGCAGCCGCGGUAAUACAGAGGGUGCAAGCGUUAAUCGGAAUUACUGGGCGUAAAGCGCGCGUAGGUGGUUUGUUAAGUUGGAUGUGAAAUCCCCGGGCUCAACCUGGGAACUGCAUUCAAAACUGACUGACUAGAGUAUGGUAGAGGGUGGUGGAAUUUCCUGUGUAGCGGUGAAAUGCGUAGAUAUAGGAAGGAACACCAGUGGCGAAGGCGACCACCUGGACUAAUACUGACACUGA
rnacentral:rRNA from 1 species